AAAAAACCACUGUGCCUCCUAAUCCUACCAUCUAUUACUAAACCAUUGCUCCCCGUGGGCGAUGCCUCGGUAUUGCAAUUUCCUAGGGCCUGAAAACAAGCACCUAAACCCUGUAGAAGAAACAAAUAGACAUUUUUCAAUGAAACCCUAAAUUCAUAACUUUCCCUUACCAUUCUUCUUUGUUAUUGCAAGCCGAAUGUCCAUUUGCGAGGGAACUAGUAUUCCUCAGGCAGUGUGCGUGGGUCAUUUUCUUCCCCCAGUUCCUCUAAUCUCUGAGUUCCUCGGAGAUUUUGUAAGAAAUCCUAUUUCUUCUCUAGACUCAACCUAUCAAAACAUUGUCUCCGCCUCCUCUAACUUCUUCCCCUUUGGUCCUUCAAAACGAUGGGUUCAACCUCCGGCGGAGUUUCUUCCAUCCAUAAGGUCAGGGAGUAGCAUCCUUUCCCCAAUGUAGCCACCGCGUGCGCCACUUUGUUUGCUCCACGUGAUAUUUUUUUAAUGAUAGUCAUUGAAUCCCCUUCGACUAUUACUUCACCAAAUCCCAUUUCUUCUGCAAAGACAACCCCUUGGAGACAUGCAUAUGCUUUUGCAGUUGUCGGAUCUCGAACGUUUUUGACCGGUAUUGGAAGAUAUGGUUGACCGAUUCGUCUUCUUCAUCGCAUAGUGGACAUAGAGCAUCAAGCCUCAACUUACGGGCCUUUAGGUUACUUAAUGUAGGCAAAUAAUUGUUUGUAAUUCUCCAUAAGCUGAUUCGUACCUUGUUGGAAACUUUUAGGCUCUAUAAUUUUGAAUAUUUUUUUUUUUUUGUAGAUCUGGAUGUAUUGUAUUUUCAUAUCCUAGCAUGUUUUGUUCCUCUGUAAUACACCACUUGUAACCACUUUUAACUA